UACGUAGGGGGCAAGCGUUGUCCGGAUUUAUUGGGCGUAAAGAGCGUGUAGGCGGCUAGAUAGGUCCGUUGUGAAAACUCGAGGCUCAACCUCGAGACGUCGAUGGAAACCAUCUGGCUAGAGUCCGGAAGAGGAGAGUGGAAUUCCUGGUGUAGCGGUGAAAUGCGCAGAUAUCAGGAAGAACACCUAUGGCGAAGGCAGCUCGCUGGGACGGUACUGACGCUGAGACGCGAAAGCGUGGGGAGCGAACAGG
rnacentral:rRNA from 1 species